rnacentral:rRNA from 1 species
UACGAAGGGGGCUAGCGUUGUUCGGAAUUACUGGGCGUAAAGCGCGCGCAGGCGGUUCUACAAGUCAGUGGUGAAAGCCCGGAGCUCAACUCCGGAACUGCCAUUGAAACUGCAGAACUUGAGGAUGAGAGAGGUGAGUGGAAUUCCCAGUGUAGAGGUGAAAUUCGUAGAUAUUGGGAAGAACACCGGUGGCGAAGGCGGCUCACUGGCUCAUUUCUGACGCUCAGGCGCGACAGCGUGGGGGAUCAAACAGG